GAUGAAGAACGUAGCGAAAUGCGAUAAGUAGUGUGAAUUGCAGAAUUCCGUGAAUCAUCGAAUCUUUGAACGCACAUUGCGCCUUCUGGUAUUCCGGAAGGCAUGCCUGUUCGAGAGUCAUUAACAACCGUUUCGAUUCCUUUCUUUCAGAAAUUACAAAGAGGAAAAGGGUUUGGUUAUGGUGGAGGAGGGAAAGGGAGCGUUUAGCCUGUAAAAAAAGAGGCUGUGUUCCGCCUCCCCCCCAAAAUUGUACAGGCGGUCGUGUGCGCCCACGCAUCGAGGUGUUGUAAAAGCUGCCACGGCACUUUUCACCUGUGCAGUGCGAGAUUGGCCAGCCGGUUUAAAAACCCCUCCAAACAAUCAAAGGUUGACCUCGGAUUAGGUAGGGAUACCCGCUGAACUUAAGCAUAUCAAUAAGCGGAGGA
rnacentral:misc_RNA from 1 species